rnacentral:rRNA from 1 species
UGCGCAGGCGGGGCAAUAAGUCAGUGGUGAAAUCCUGCGGCUUAACCGUAGAACUGCCAUUGAUACUGUUGCCCUUGAGUAUAGUUGAGGUGGGCGGAAUAUGUAAUGUAGCGGUGAAAUGCAUAGAUAUUACAUAGAACACCGAUUGCGAAGGCAGCUCACUAAACUAUCACUGACGCUGAGGCACGAAAGCGUGGGGAGCGAACAGGAUUAGAUACCCUGGUAGUCC